GACGAACGCUGGCGGCGUGCUUAACACAUGCAAGUCGAACGGAGAAGCUCCAGCUUGCUGGUGUGGAUCUGUGGCGCACGCGUGAGUAACACGUGAGCAUCCUGCCCCUGUCACUGUAAUAUGCGCUGGAAAAGGCGUCUCUUACUGGGUACGAGAAGGGUCCGCAUGUGCAUCUUCUGGAAAGUUUUUCGGUUGUGGCUGGUCUCGAUGCUUAUCAGCUUGUUUGUGAGGUAAUGGCUCACAAAGGUUACGACGGAUAGCCGGCCUGAGAGGUCGGACGGCGACACUGGGACUGAGGCACGGACCAGACUGCUACGGGAGGCAGCAGGCGAGAAUAUUGCAGAAUGGGCGAAAGCCUGAUGCAGCGACCCCGCGAGAGGGAUGACGGCCUACGAGGUAUAAACAUCUGUCAGCAGAGAAGAAGCGAAAGUGACGGUACCUGCAGAAGAAGCACCGGCUAACUACGUG
rnacentral:rRNA from 1 species